rnacentral:ncRNA from 1 species
GAGAGCCAAAUGAAUUGAAAGAUUCAUGUUCAGUUCGGGAAGAGAUCAUAGAAGUUGUGGAAUUGAUAUGGAGACACUUUACUUUCAG